rnacentral:rRNA from 1 species
ACGGGAGGCAGCAGUGGGGAAUAUUGCACAAUGGGGGAAACCCUGAUGCAGCGACGCCGCGUGAGUGAAGAAGUAUUUCGGUAUGUAAAGCUCUAUCAGCAGGGAAGAAAAUGACGGUACCUGACUAAGAAGCCCCGGCUAACUACGUGCCAGCAGCCGCGGUAAUACGUAGGGGGCAAGCGUUAUCCGGAUUUACUGGGUGUAAAGGGAGCGUAGACGGAUCGGCAAGUCUGAUGUGAAAGCCCGGGGCUCAACCGCGGGACUGCAUUGGAAACUGUCGAUCUGGAGUACAGGAGGGGUAAGCGGAAUUCCUAGUGUAGCGGUGAAAUGCGUAGAUAUUAGGAGGAACACCGGUGGCGAAGGCGGCUUACUGGACUGUAACUGACGUUGAGGCUCGAAAGCGUGGGGAGCAAACAGGAUUAGAUACCCUGGUA